GCCAGGCGUGGUGACUCACGCCUGUAAUCCCAGUACUGUGGGAGGCUGAGGUGGGUGGAUCACCUGUGGUCAGGAGUUCGAGACCAGCCUGGCCAACAUGGUGAAACCCUGUCUCUA
rfam:Papio anubis isolate 1X1155 chromosome 5, whole genome shotgun sequence.